rnacentral:rRNA from 1 species
GCCGCUGGCGGCGCGCUUAUACAUGCAAGUCGAGCGAGAACAGGGCUUCGCCCUGGGGACAGCGGCGAACGAGUGAGUAACACGUGGGUAAUCAACCCCCGACACCGGGAUAGCCCAGGAGACUUGGAUUAAUACCGGAUGCCCCAUCUGGGAGCCGGCUGGAAAAGGGUAGCUUCGCCGGUCGGGGACGAGCCCGCGGCGGAUUAGCUUGUUGGUGAGGUAAAGGCUCACCAAGGCGACGAUCCGUAGCUGGUCUGAGAGGACGAUCAGCCACACUGGGACUGAGACACGGCCCAGACUCCUACGGGAGGCAGCAGUAGGGAAUCUUGCGCAAUGGGCGAAAGCCUGACGCAGCGACGCCGCGUGAGGGAAGAAGGCCUUCGGGUUGUAAACCUCUUUCAGGAGGGACGAAGCCACUCGGGUUAAUAGCCCAGAGGGUGACGGUACCUCCAGAAGAAGCCCCGGCUAACUACGUGCCAGCAGCCGCGGUAAUACGUAGGGGGCAAGCGUUGUCCGGAUUUAUUGGGCGUAAAGAGCGUGUAGGCGGCCAAGCAGGUCUGCUGUGAAAACUCGAGGCUCAACCUCGAGACGUCGGUUGAAACCGCUUGGCUAGAGUCCGGAAGAGGAGAGUGGAAUUCCCGGUGUAGCGGUGAAAUGCGCAGAUAUCGGGAAGAACACCCGUGGCGAAGGCGGCUCUCUGGGACGGUACUGACGCUGAGACGCGAAAGCGUGGGGAGCGAACAGGAUUAGAUACCCUGGUAGUCCACGCCGUAAACGAUGGG